rnacentral:rRNA from 1 species
AUUGAACGGCUGGCGGCAUGCCUUACACAUGCAAGUCGAACGGUAGAGUAGCAAUACUCGAGAGUGGCGAACGGGUGAGUAAUAUAUCGGAACGUGCCCAGUCGUGGGGGAUAACGUAGAGAAAUUUACGCUAAUACCGCAUACGAUCUAAGGAUGAAAGCGGGGGAUUCGCAAGAACCUCGCGCGAUUGGAGCGGCUGAUAUCAGAUUAGGUUGUUGGUGAGGUAAAAGCUCACCAAGCCGACGAUCUGUAGCUGGUUUGAGAGAACGACCAGCCACACUGGGACUGAGACACGGCCCAGACUCCUACGGGAGGCAGCAGUGGGGAAUAUUGGACAAUGGGCGAAAGCCUGAUCCAGCAAUGCGCGUGCAGGAUGAAGGCCUCGGUU